AUAAUCUGUGCCUCCAGUCACAGUGCUCCCGGAGACGCGAGGGUUCGAGGUGCAUGCUGGGAGAACGCCAACUUUGUCUUCCCUACAGCAACGAUGGCUUUGUGCUCAAGGAUCUCCGCCUUCUGUUCGGGUUGAAGCAGAGUGUUGGACACCAUCGCUUUAGCCACUACUUCGAUCGGGAUGGCCAUGGAUGUAGAGCACACAGAGGUGAGGCCACUGAGGAACUUCCUGGCCAGCCACUCUGUGGGCCGACUCUCCUGCCGGUCAACCAACAAAACGCUGUCCAGAAAAAACACAAAGCGAUGAUAGCUUUGUUCUCCAGUAUCUCAAUCUUCUGCUCGGGUUGAAGCAGAGUGUUGGACACCAUCCCCUUAGCCACCACUUCGAUUGGGAUGGCCAUGGAUGUAGAGCACACAGAGGAGAGGCCACCGAAGACUUUCCUUGCCAGCCACUCUGUGGGCCGGCUCUCCUGCCGGUCAACCAACAAAACGCUGUCCAGAAAAAACAAAAAGGUGAGCUUUCUCCUUCCGAUGAGAGUGAUCUUGGAGAAGAUGUUUCGCUCCAGCAGCUCUUGAACCAGCACUUUUCCUGUCUCCCCUGAGGCACCGAGGACGAA